ACCACAUGUGUUGACUAUAAUCUACACAACUGCACCUGGGAAAAGAGGGAUUGUGCAAAUGACUUGUCCAGCCAGGGCUGUAGCACCAACAGCCCAUACUAUUAGGACUACUGCAACUGCUAGGGAACCUACAAAACCAACUCUCCCUCCCCCUGCUGUCUGCAAAGCCUCCAGCAUGACUGUAGAACUGCCUUCUGGGUCGCUUCAAGUUCUAUUAUUGACUCCGUCCAACAAAUGGGAAGAUAUUAAUGAUGCUACCAGUUACUACAGCUUGGUGCAGCGGGAAGGGCGGAACUACUUUACAACCCCCUACAGGGCUUUUGCUGUCCACAUACAGGAUGGAAAUUACGUCUUAACCUUACUCUACACAACCACUGCUGGUAAACGAGGGUAUGUGCACAUGAGAUGUCCCACAAAGGCCCCUACUUCCACUAGUAGGAAGCCAAGAAAGACUACUAGAACCAAUGCUGUGGAUUCAACCAGGAGAGCUAGAAGAAGUGCAAAAGAUGCAACCAGGACAACCCGCAGAGGCUCUGGGG